AACGAACGCUGGCGGCAUGCCUGACACAUGCAAGUCGAGGGGUAGCGGGAUUAAGCUUGCUUAAUUGCUGACGACCGGCGCACGGGUGCGUAACGCGUAUGCAACCUACCUUAUACUGGGGUAUAGCCCGGAGAAAUUCGGAUUAAUCCCCCAUAGUACUAAUGAAUCGCAUGGUUUAUUAGUUAAAGCAUUGCGGUAUAAGAUGGGCAUGCGUCCUAUUAGCUAGAUGGUGAGGUAACGGCUCCCCAUGGCUACGAUAGGUAGGGGGCCUGAGAGGGUGGUCCCCCACACUGGUACUGAGACACGGACCAGACUCCUACGGGAGGCAGCAGUGAGGAAUAUUGGUCAAUGGGCGCAAGCCUGAACCAGCCAUGCCGCGUGCAGGAAGAAUGCCCUAUGGGUUGUAAACUGCUUUUAUUUGGGAAUAAACCUCUUUACGUGUAGAGAGCUGAAGGUACCAAAUGAAUAAGCACCGGCUAACUCCGUGCCAGCCGCCGCCGUAA
rnacentral:rRNA from 1 species